UAUUGUUUUAUUUAUAAAUUGUUUUUGAUUAUUUAUAUUGUAAUAAUAUUUAUUACUUGUUGCGUAAUUUAUUGUUGUUUAUUAUAUUUUCGUGUUUGUGUUGUUUUAUUAUCAGUUUAUCUGUGAAUUUAUUUUCCGUGUACGUUGUUGUGCGACUGCAACGAGAGCCGGCGGAGCUGUCAGUUGUCAGCUGUCAAAAACGUUGAGAUGGAAGCAAAAGUGAAGGAGGAAAUUCCGGACAAAGAGUACCAGCCAACUUCUACAGACAGACGGAAAUCUACAACGAGCAAAGAGAGACGUUCUCCCGAGCAAGAGGAGAGUAGAGUGUCACCAACUCCCGGCCCGCCCAGCCCGCAGAACAACGGCACCACGGGGCUGUCGUCUACGGAGUCCCUAUCACCGCCGUUGUGCGAAGGCGCGCGGCCCGCACUUCA